rnacentral:tRNA from 1 species
GUAGCUCAGUGGUAGAGCACAUGCUUAGCAUACAUGAAGUCCUGGGUUCAAACUCCAGC